UACGCACGCUGGCGGCGUGCCUAAUACAUGCAAGUAGAACGCACAGUUUAUACCGUAGCUUGCUACACCAUAGACUGUGAGUUGCGAACGGGUGAGUAACGCGUAGGUAACCUGCCUGGUAGCGGGGGAUAACUAUUGGAAACGAUAGCUAAUACCGCAUAAUAUUGAUUAUUGCAUGAUAAUUGAUUGAAAGAUGCUAUUGCAUCACUACCAGAUGGACCUGCGUUGUAUUAGCUAGUAGGUGAGGUAACGGCUCACCUAGGCGACGAUACGUAGCCGACCUGAGAGGGUGAUCGGCCACACUGGGACUGAGACACGGCCCAGACUCCUACGGGAGGCAGCAGUAGGGAAUCUUCGGCAAUGGACGAAAGUCUGACCGAGCAACGCCGCGUGAGUGAAGAAGGUUUUCGGAUCGUAAAGCUCUGUUGUAAGAGAAGAACGGGUGUGAGAGUGGAAAGUUCACACUGUGACGGUAUCUUACCAGAAAGGGACGGCUAACUACGUG
rnacentral:rRNA from 1 species